rnacentral:rRNA from 1 species
CUCCAAUAGCGUAUAUUAAAGUUGUUGCAGUUAAAAAGCUCGUAGUUGAAUUUCGGGAUCAAAUUGUCGGUCGUGCCUCGGUACGUACUGGUAUUAUUGGUUCCUCCCUUCUGACGAACCACGAUGUCAUUAAUUUGGUGUCAUGGGAAAUCAGGACUGUUACUUUGAAAAAAUUAGAGUGUUUAAAGCAGGCUCGCGCUUGAAUACAUUAGCAUGGAAUAAUGAAAUAGGACGUUUGAUUCUAUUUUGUUGGUUUCUAGGAUCGACGUAAUGAUUAAUAGGGAUAGUUGGGGGCAUUAGUAUUCAAUUGUCAGAGGUGAAAUUCUUGGAUUUAUUGAAGACUAACUACUGCGAAAGCAUUUGCCAAGGAUGUUUUCAUUAAUCAAGAACGAAAGUUAGGGGAUCGAAGACGAUCAGAUACCGUCGUAGUCUUAACCAUAAACUAUGCCGACUAGGGAUCGGAUGAUGUUAAUUUUUUAAUGACUCAUUC